CUGAACCCUCUCUAAGGUAUCAAUAUCCUUCUGAAGAUACGGUCUCCAGUACUGUGUACAAUACUCCAAGUGAGGUCUCACCAGUGUUCUGUACAAUGGCAUGAGCACUUCCCUCUUUCUACUGCUAAUACCUCUCCCUAUACAACCAAGCAUUCUGCUAGCAUUUCCUGCUGCUCUAUUACAUUGUCUGCCUACCUUUAAGUCAUCUGAAAUAAUCACCCCUAAAUCCCUUUCCUCAUAUGUUGAGGUUGGGACUCUAUCAAAUAUUCUGUACUCUGCCCUUGGGUUUUUACGUCCAAGAUGCAUUAUCUUGCACUUAUCCACAUUAAAUGUCAGUUGCCACAAUUCUGACCAUUUUUCUAGUUUACCUAAAUCAUUUGUCAUUUGGCUUAUCCCUCCUGGAACAUCAACCCUGUUACAUAUC